GAAGCACAGCACACACGUGCCAUGACUACUCAUCUCACAGCACCAGGGACGUCAUCUUGGGAGAUAGCUUACCCUUCUGAACCUCGGUUUCUUCAUGAAUAAAGGAGCCUAACUUGAAAGGAUAGUCAAAUAAAUUAUAAAGCUUUUACCACAGGGCCAGGUACAGUAGGUGCUCAACAAGUGGUAGCCAUUAUUAUCAUUUAUUAUGCUUCAGAAGAGGGCAUAUGGAGAGGGAUUACAUAACCGUAUUGUAGAAAAAUCCUGAUUUUAUUUAACAGAAAAAAUGUCUGGAAAGUUAAACACCAGAAUUUUAACUAUGGCUAUUUCCUGACACUGGUACUAAAUGUGAACUAUUUUCUUCUUUAUUCUGUUUAAUGAGCACUUAC
rnacentral:lncRNA from 1 species